UCGCCACUUUCUGGCAGAGACCUGCGAUCAGUCUGUUUCGUUUUCUUGAAGGAAUCCAAGCCCCCGGAAAAAAAGGAAGGCAAAAGAGGUUUGUCUCGUUUUAGCAGCGACUCGAGAGCAGCUGACUGACGGCGCCCGCGUGAGAGUGUGCGCGCUUCCCGGGUCUCCCCUCUCCGGUUCUAGGUGUGGGUGAUCUUUGCUUUCGCCUUGGAUCUGGCAGGCUGUCGGCUUCCCUCCCCCCUCUUGUCCCCCCCUUUUUUUUGCUCGCUCGCUUGCUCUGUAGCGCUACGGAUCUGCCUGCGGUCGGGCGCCUGCCUGCCUUAUAUCUCGCCGGCCGCCUGCAUAGCUAAUGAGAUGCAAAUGAGCAGCCCCCCAAUCUGGCGAGAGCGGCCACAAAGGAACCACUUUUUCCAAGCCCUCCUCUCAAUGGAUCGCCAAAUGGGGACGGUCACACACAGACACACACGAGCGACCUCUCUUCUACUCACGUCUGAACGUUAUAAGCGCAGGAGAAACUCAGGCUCCCGCAGGAAAACAAGCCGAGACUCAGAACGUCUUAAAAUGUGUAAAUGUAACACGCACGUUUUUGUUUUUUGUUUUUUUAAGUAGGCUACAUUCUUGGCAACGACAUCUAUCCGCCGCUAAGGAUAUCCUUCAACCGAGGGAAGGAACCAGAUCAGCAUUACGCCCGGCUGAAACCGAAUACCUUGAACCUGGCACGUGGGGCCACUGUGAUAUUUUUGAGGGUUUAUAAAUGCCCCCAUCUGGAGGAGGGAGGAGAGCAAGCGAGACAAUCGCUGCGAGCAAAGUUGUAGUUGUGGGGUGUGUUCUUUUAAAGUUCCCUCCAACGUGGC